GAUUAGUUGAAAUUAAAAUUGAUCAACAAAUCGACAAUCUACAAUUUGCCAUACACGAAACUUCAAAAUUGUCGAUUUGUUUAUCAACUUCUAUAGUUCAAAAGGAUGACCGAGUUUGGUAUAAUAGCAGGAUUAUCACGUUGGCUUAUCAAUUACUCCACACAAGUGUUUAUACAUGUAUCAACCUGUUUAUCAAUCGGCCAGUCGAUACUUCCAAGGCAUCAAUUUGUCAAUCGUCGACUCGUUGACAAACAUUAUCACACACCUAUCAAUUUAUCUGUCAAUCUUAAGUUUUUCAGCAAAUCGACAAACCGAUCGUUUCGUGUAUGUGGGCCUUAUUGAAGCAGCAUUUGAAUGCAACUGUAGCGCUAGUAAUAUAUGGCCCUAUUUUAACAUUUGCCACGGGAAUAUUGAUAAAACGAUUAUAUCUUGAAAAAAUGACCAAACUUAUAGAUUAUAGGUCACAAAUUAUGAACAUAACUGUGUUAUUCAUUUAAUAAUAUAUAAAGAUAUUUGUGGUAAAAUGUUAACUCGGAAAGAAGCAUUGUUUAUAAAGCCAUUUCAAGAACGAUUAUACUGCCAACAUAAAACUAAAAGUAGUAUCUUAACCGAGUACAAUUAUUGCAAUGUUGUAUUGAAAUCCUGAAAGUUAAGAUAGAUAUGAGAAUCAUUAUCCACUCAGUGUACCAAGCAUACGAGAACGUGAACUUAAAAAAAUAGAUCAUAAUAUAAUAGUACAUUCCAUAUUAUUUAGUUAAAAAUACAAACUAGUUGCAUUUUUAGUUAAAUUACAGCUGUCAAUAAUCAGUAUC